rnacentral:rRNA from 1 species
CCUACGGGUGGCAGCAGUGAGGAAUAUUGGUCAAUGGGCGCGAGUCUGAACCAGCCAAGCCGCGUGAAGGAUGACGGCUCUAUGAGUUGUAAACUGCUUUUGUACGAGGGUAAAGUGAGGCACGUGUGUCUGGUUGAAAGUACCGUAUGAAUAAGGAUCGGCUAACUCCGUGCCCGCAGCCGCGGUAAUACGGAGGAUUCAAGCGUUAUCCGGAUUUAUUGGGUUUAAAGGGAGCGUAGGUGGGUGGAUAAGUUAGAGGUGAAAGCCCGCGGCUUAACUCCGGCACUGCCUGUGAUACUGUCGGGCUAGAGUUCAGUUGAGGUAGGCGGAAUGUAUGGUGUAGCGGUGAAAUGCAUAGAGAUCAUACAGAACUCCGAUUGCGAAGGCAGCUUACCAAACUACGACUGACGUUGAGGCACGAAAGCGUGGGUAGCAAACAGGAUUAGAUACCCUAGUAGUC